rnacentral:rRNA from 1 species
UACGGGGGGGGCAAGCGUUGUUCGGAAUUACUGGGCGUAAAGGGCUCGUAGGUGGCCAACUAAGUCAGACGUGAAAUCCCUCAGCUUAACUGGGGAACUGCGUCUGAUACUGGAUGGCUUGAGUUUGGGAGAGGGAUGCGGAAUUCCAGGUGUAGCGGUGAAAUGCGUAGAUAUCAGGAGGAACACCGAUGGCGAAGGCAGGUCUCUGGGCAUUAACUGACGCUGAGGAGCGAAAGCAUGGGGAGCGAACAGG